UAAUAGUAAGCUAUUAUAGCGUCUUAAUUUCGACUUAAGAAAAGAAUUUUUAGUGAAGUUCACAUCAU
rnacentral:tRNA from 1 species